rnacentral:rRNA from 1 species
AGCGUACACGGUGGAUGCCCUGGCAGUCAGAGGCGAUGAAGGACGUGCUAAUCUGCGAUAAGCGCCGGUAAGGUGAUAUGAACCGUUAUAACCGGCGAUUUCCGAAUGGGGAAACCCAGUGUGACUCGUCACACUAUCAUUAACUGAAUCCAUAGGUUAAUGAGGCGAACCGGGGGAACUGAAACAUCUAAGUACCCCGAGGAAAAGAAAUCAACCGAGAUUCCCCCAGUAGCGGCGAGCGAACGGGGAGGAGCCCAGAGCCUGAAUCAGCAUGUGUGUUAGUGGAAGCGUCUGGAAAGGCGCGCGAUACAGGGUGACAGCCCCGUACACAAAAGCGCAUGUGCUGUGAGCUCGAUGAGUAGGGCGGGACACGUGGUAUCCUGUCUGAAUAUGGGGGGACCAUCCUCCAAGGCUAAAUACUCCUGACUGACCGAUAGUGAACCAGUACCGUGAGGGAAAGGCGAAAAGAACCCCGGCGAGGGGAGUGAAAAAGAACCUGAAACCGUGUACGUACAAGCAGUGGGAGCACCCUUUGGGGUGUGACUGCGUACCUUUUGUAUAAUGGGUCAGCGACUUAUAUUCUGUAGCAAGGUUAACCGAAUAGGGGAGCCGGAGGGAAACCGAGUCUUAAUUGGGCGUUAAGUUGCAGGGUAUAGACCCGAAACCCGGUGAUCUAGCCAUGGGCAGGUUGAAGGUUGGGUAACACUAACUGGAGGACCGAACCGACUAAUGUUGAAAAAUUAGCGGAUGACCUGUGGCUGGGGGUGAAAGGCCAAUCAAACCGGGAGAUAGCUGGUUCUCCCCGAAAGCUAUUUAGGUAGCGCCUCGUGAAUUCAUCUCCGGGGGUAGAGCACUGUUUCGGCUAGGGGGCCAUCCCGGCUUACCAACCCGAUGCAAACUGCGAAUACCGGAGAAUGUUAUCACGGGAGACACACGGCGGGUGCUAACGUCCGUCGUGAAGAGGGAAACAACCCAGACCGCCAGCUAAGGUCCCAAAGUCAUGGUUAAGUGGGAAACGAUGUGGGAAGGCCCAGACAGCCAGGAUGUUGGCUUAGAAGCAGCCAUCAUUUAAAGAAAGCGUAAUAGCUCACUGGUCGAGUCGGCCUGCGCGGAAGAUGUAACGGGGCUAAACCAUGCACCGAAGCUGCGGCAGCGACGCUGAUGCGUUGUUGGGUAGGGGAGCGUUCUGUAAGCCUGCGAAGGUGUGUCGUGAGGCAUGCUGGAGGUAUCAGAAGUGCGAAUGCUGACAUAAGUAACGAUAAAGCGGGUGAAAAGCCCGCUCGCCGGAAGACCAAGGGUUCCUGUCCAACGUUAAUCGGGGCAGGGUGAGUCGACCCCUAAGGCGAGGCCGAAAGGCGUAGUCGAUGGGAAACGGGUUAAUAUUCCCGUACUUGGUGUUACUGCGAAGGGGGGACGGAGAAGGCUAUGUUGGCCGGGCGACGGUUGUCCCGGUUUAAGCGUGUAGGUGUGUGUUCCAGGUAAAUCCGGUUCACUUUAACACUGAGGCGUGAUGACGAGGCACUACGGUGCUGAAGCAACAAAUGCCCUGCUUCCAGGAAAAGCCUCUAAGCAUCAGGUAACAUCAAAUCGUACCCCAAACCGACACAGGUGGUCAGGUAGAGAAUACCAAGGCGCUUGAGAGAACUCGGGUGAAGGAACUAGGCAAAAUGGUGCCGUAACUUCGGGAGAAGGCACGCUGACACGUAGGUGAAGUGAUUUACUCAUGGAGCUGAAGUCAGUCGAAGAUACCAGCUGGCUGCAACUGUUUAUUAAAAACACAGCACUGUGCAAACACGAAAGUGGACGUAUACGGUGUGACGCCUGCCCGGUGCCGGAAGGUUAAUUGAUGGGGUCAGCGCAAGCGAAGCUCCUGAUCGAAGCCCCGGUAAACGGCGGCCGUAACUAUAACGGUCCUAAGGUAGCGAAAUUCCUUGUCGGGUAAGUUCCGACCUGCACGAAUGGCGUAAUGAUGGCCAGGCUGUCUCCACCCGAGACUCAGUGAAAUUGAACUCGCUGUGAAGAUGCAGUGUACCCGCGGCAAGACGGAAAGACCCCGUGAACCUUUACUAUAGCUUGACACUGAACAUUGAGCCUUGAUGUGUAGGAUAGGUGGGAGGCUUUGAAGUGUGGACGCCAGUCUGCAUGGAGCCGGCCUUGAAAUACCACCCUUUAAUGUUUGAUGUUCUAACGUGGACCCGUGAUCCGGGUUGCGGACAGUGUCUGGUGGGUAGUUUGACUGGGGCGGUCUCCUCCUAAAGAGUAACGGAGGAGCACGAAGGUUGGCUAAUCCUGGUCGGACAUCAGGAGGUUAGUGCAAUGGCAUAAGCCAGCUUGACUGCGAGCGUGACGGCGCGAGCAGGUGCGAAAGCAGGUCAUAGUGAUCCGGUGGUUCUGAAUGGAAGGGCCAUCGCUCAACGGAUAAAAGGUACUCCGGGGAUAACAGGCUGAUACCGCCCAAGAGUUCAUAUCGACGGCGGUGUUUGGCACCUCGAUGUCGGCUCAUCACAUCCUGGGGCUGAAGUAGGUCCCAAGGGUAUGGCUGUUCGCCAUUUAAAGUGGUACGCGAGCUGGGUUUAGAACGUCGUGAGACAGUUCGGUCCCUAUCUGCCGUGGGCGCUGGAGAACUGAGGGGGGCUGCUCCUAGUACGAGAGGACCGGAGUGGACGCAUCACUGGUGUUCGGGUUGUCAUGCCAAUGGCACUGCCCGGUAGCUAAAUGCGGAAGAGAUAAGUGCUGAAAGCAUCUAAGCACGAAACUUGCCCCGAGAUGAGUUCU